rnacentral:rRNA from 1 species
CCUACGGGGGGCAGCAGUGAGGAAUAUUGGUCAAUGGACGAGAGUCUGAACCAGCCAAGUAGCGUGCAGGAUGACGGCCCUAUGGGUUGUAAACUGCUUUUAUAAGGGAAUAAAGUGAGUCUCGUGAGACUUUUUGCAUGUACCUUAUGAAUAAGGACCGGCUAAUUCCGUGCCAGCAGCCGCGGUAAUACGGAAGGUCCGGGCGUUAUCCGGAUUUAUUGGGUUUAAAGGGAGCGUAGGCCGGAGAUUAAGCGUGUUGUGAAAUGUAGACGCUCAACGUCUGCACUGCAGCGCGAACUGGUUUCCUUGAGUACGCACAAAGUGGGCGGAAUUCGUGGUGUAGCGGUGAAAUGCUUAGAUAUCACGAAGAACUCCGAUUGCGAAGGCAGCUCACUGGAGCGCAACUGACGCUGAAGCUCGAAAGUGCGGGUAUCGAAC